rnacentral:sRNA from 1 species
GUUAGGCAUGGUGAUGCAUGCCUGUAAUCCCAGUGACUCUGGAGGCUGAGGCAGGAGGAUUGUGAGUUCAAAGCCAGCCUCAACAACUUAGUGAGGCCCUAAGCAACAUAGCAAGACCCUCUCUCUG